AACGAACGUUAGCGGCGCGCCUAACACAUGCAAGUCGCACGAGAAAGGGCUUCGGCCCCGGUAAAGUGGCGCACGGGUGAGUAACACGUGGGUAACCUGCCCUCGAGCGGGGGAUAACAUUCCGAAAGGAGUGCUAAUACCGCAUAAGACCACGACCUCGAAAGAGGUUGAGGUCAAAGCUGGCCUCUAUACAUAAGCUAGCACUUGAGGAUGGGCCCGCGGAGCAUCAGCUAGUUGGUGAGGUAAUGGCUCACCAAGGCUAAGACGCUUAGCUGGUCUGAGAGGAUGAUCAGCCACACUGGAACUGAGACACGGUCCAGACUCCUACGGGAGGCAGCAGUGGGGAAUCUUGCGCAAUGGGCGAAAGCCUGACGCAGCGACGCCGCGUGAGUGAUGAAGGCCUUCGGGUUGUAAAGCUCUGUGGGGCGAGACGAAUAAGUGCAGCCUAAUACGUUGCAUGAUGACGGUAUCGCCUUAGCAAGCACCGGCUAACUCUGUGCCAGCAGCCGCGGUAAAA
rnacentral:rRNA from 1 species